rnacentral:rRNA from 1 species
AUACAGAGGGUGCAAGCGUUAAUCGGAUUUACUGGGCGUAAAGCGCGCGUAGGUGGCUAAUUAAGUCAAAUGUGAAAUCCCCGAGCUUAACUUGGGAAUUGCAUUCGAUACUGGUUAGCUAGAGUAUGGGAGAGGAUGGUAGAAUUCCAGGUGUAGCGGUGAAAUGCGUAGAGAUCUGGAGGAAUACCGAUGGCGAAGGCAGCCAACUGGCCUAAUACUGACACUGAGGUGCGAAAGCAGGGGGAGCAAACAGGAUUAGAUCCCCUGGUAGUCCAUGCCGUAAACGAUGUCUACUAGCCGUUGGGGCCCUUGAGGCUUUAGUGGCGCAGCUAACGCGAUAAGUAGACCGCCUGGGGAGUACGGUCGCAAGACUAAAACUCAAAUGAAUUGACGGGG